GACGAACGCUGGCGGCGUGCUUAACACAUGCAAGUCGAACGGAAAGGCCCUGCUUUUGUGGGGUGCUCGAGUGGCGAACGGGUGAGUAACACGUGAGUAACCUGCCCUUGACUUUGGGAUAACUUCAGGAAACUGGGGCUAAUACCGGAUAGGAGCUCCUGCUGCAUGGUGGGGGUUGGAAAGUUUCGGCGGUUGGGGAUGGACUCGCGGCUUAUCAGCUUGUUGGUGGGGUAGUGGCUUACCAAGGCUUUGACGGGUAGCCGGCCGGAGAGGGUGACCGGCCACAUUGGGACUGAGAUACGGCACAGACUGCUACGGGAGGCAGCAGUGGGGAAGACUGCACCAUGGGCGGAAGCCUGGUGCAGCAGCGCCGCGUGCGGGAUGACGGCCUUCGGGUUGUAAACCGCUGUCGCCUGUGACGAAGCGUGAGUGACGGUAAUGGGUAAAGAAGCACCGGCUAACUACGUG
rnacentral:rRNA from 1 species